GCCCGGCUAGCUUAGUUGGAAGAGCGUGAGGCUUUUAUGAAAGGAGACCUCAAGGUCGGGGGUUCGAGCCCCCCGCCGGGCG
rnacentral:tRNA from 1 species